rnacentral:rRNA from 1 species
AUUGAACGCUGGCGGCAGGCCUAACACAUGCAAGUCGAACGAGUGGCGGACGGGUGAGUAAUGUCUGGGAAACUGCCCGAUGGAGGGGGAUACAUACUGGACACGGUAGCUUAUCCCGCAUACCAUCGGAUGUGCCAAGAUGGGUUUGGCUGGUAGGUGGGGUAACGGCUCACCUAGGCGACGAUCCCUAGGUGGUGUGAGAUGAUGACCAGCCACACUGGGACUGAGACACGGUCCAGACUCCUACGGGAGGCAGCAGUGGGGAAUAUUGCACAAUGGGCGCAAGCCUGAUGCAGCCAUGCCGCGUGUAUGAAGAAGGCCUUCGGGUUGGAAAGUACUUUCAGCGGGGAGGCGUUACCCGCAGAAGAAGCACCGGCUAACUCCGUGCCAGCAGCCGCGGUAAUAC